CCUGGGUUUGACAUCCUUUGACAGUCCCUGAAAGGGGGAUCUUCCCGAUUUAUCGGGACAAAGUGACAGGUGCUGCAUGGGCUGUCGUCAGCUCGUGUCGUGAGAUGUUGGGUUAAGUCCCGCAACGAGCGCAACCCUUGUCUUUAGUUGCCAAUAUUAAGUUAGGCACUCUAAUGAUACUGCCCCGGUUAACGGGGAGGAAGGUGGGGAUGACGUCAAGUCCUCAUGGCCUUUAUACCCAGGGCUACACACGUGCUACAAUGGGCUAUACAAAGGGCUGCCACUCUGCAAAGAGGAGCUAAUCCCAAAAAGUAGUCCUAAGUUCGGAUUGGAGUCUGCAACUCGACUCCAUGAAGCUGGAAUCGCUAGUAACCGUGGAUCAGCAUGCCACGGUGAAUACGUUCCCGGGCCUUGUACACACCGCCCGUCACACCACGAAAGUUGGC
rnacentral:rRNA from 1 species